ensembl:lncRNA
GCGCGACCGGCGGGCCUUGAACUUUAAGAGAAGAAAAACUUUCUCACGGACGGUGACAGCGAAACGGAUAACAGUCUUGAGUACCUGCUGGUCUUUGAAGCUCUGGAUUCUGGGACUGUUGGAAAAGAGGCGGUGGCGAGAGGGGAGACCUCGGCUCAUCCAGCUGGAGAGCCUGACCAGGAGGAGUCGAACAUUAACUCGGCUCUUCCAGGACACCCUGCAGACUUGGCUGCUGGCAACAGCGAGGGAUGAUGUGAACGCCAAACUGGAGUCCAUCACAGGUCGACUGCAGCUCCUUGUCUCAGAGUGGGAGGGAUUUGAAGCACAAAGGGAGGAGCUUGUCGUUUGGUUGGCUGAUAUGGAUGCCCGUCUGAGUGAGGUUGACCAGCUGACAGGAAACACCUGUGAAAAACUGAAACAACUGCAGGUGUGGGGUUGUUUUGAUAUGAUACAUAUGUCAGAGAUAUUAUCCUAAACUGGACUAACAAAGAACCAUGAGUCCAACAUGAAACUUACCUUACAUAAGGUAAGGCUGAAGUUCAUUGAUAAUUUUGAUCAUAAACUUGUUGAAAUAUUUUUACUGAUCAUGCAAACAUCUGCUGAUGAAAAUGUG